rnacentral:rRNA from 1 species
AGUGAACGCUGGCGGUAGGCCUAACACAUGCAAGUCGGACGGCAGCACAGUAAGAGCUUGCUCUUACGGGUGGCGAGUGGCGGACGGGUGAGGAAUACAUCGGAAUCUACUUUUUCGUGGGGGAUAACGUAGGGAAACUUACGCUAAUACCGCAUACGACCUACGGGUGAAAGCAGGGGAUCUUCGGACCUUGCGCGAUUGAAUGAGCCGAUGUCGGAUUAGCUAGUUGGCCGGGUAAAGGCCCACCAAGGCGACGAUCCGUAGCUGGUCUGAGAGGAUGAUCAGCCACACUGGAACUGAGACACGGUCCAGACUCCUACGGGAGGCAGCAGUGGGGAAUAUUGGACAAUGGGCGCAAGCCUGAUCCAGCCAUACCGCGUGGGUGAAGAAGGCCUUCGGGUUGUAAAGCCCUUUUGUUGGGAAAGAAAAGCAGCAGGUUAAUACCCCGCUGUUCUGACGGUACCCAAAGAAUAAGCACCGGCUAACUUCGUG